rnacentral:tRNA from 1 species
UUAAAAUCCGUCGACUUUAGAAAUCGUGAGGGUUCAAGUCCCUCUAUCCCCCUCAAAAAGGGCCCGUUUGA